CAUACUUAUGUAAAUUUUAUUGUAUAAAUUAGGCGACAGAUGUAUCUAGUGGCAUUCUAAAAAAGGCUUCUCCACAAACACAUCAAAGAUCCCUCUUUUGGGAGUCAUGAAAUGCGACCUUCUAAUCGGGGAAAUAAGACAACAUGAAAGCAUCAAACAAUGGACGUCAUUUCUCGAUCUAAACAUUUUUCAUGGAGGUCUUUAUAAAAUGGCGUCAUGAGUAAUACUUUUGAGUAUAUUGUUAUGUGACAAGUUUAUAUGUACCUUUUGUAUUAUGGUGUGGCUAUUAGUUUGCUAGAAAUAUUUGAUCUAUUUUGGUAUGACAAGCUUAUGUAAUGAACCUUUUAAUUAAGGUGUUUUGGAUAUUUUGGGAUUAUGAAAAUGCAAACUCUUUAAUCUUUUA